UGAGUAGUACGAUCGCAAGAUUAAAAUUCAAAAACUUUGGCUGUUCACUACUUCGAUUAGAGGAGCGUGUAGUUUAAUUCGAUGGUCCGCGUGUUACCUUACCCCAGCUUGAAUCUAUGACCGGUAUUGCAUGGCCGUCGUAAGUCCCUGUGUUAAACUAAAAGGGACCCAAUCCGGGCGUUUGCCUGAAGGAAGUCAGGUCUUAUGAUCCGAAUGUUGGGGGAUUUAUGCGCUACAUUUUCUUAUAUAAUGAGAGACUUGAGAGGUAAGCCUCUAAAGUAAGAGUUCGGAAGGUCGCUGUAAAACGACUGGAAGUUGGAUUUAAUAGUAAUCGGAAAGUAGAGCGUUCCGGUGAAUUGGUACAAGUGUUAGCACAAAUUGCCCGUCGUCUUUACUUAGAAUGGUUCUU
rnacentral:rRNA from 1 species